rnacentral:rRNA from 1 species
UNUGACUUGAGUGCAGAAGGGGAGAGUGGAAUUCCAUGUGUAGCGGUGAAAUGCGUAGAUAUAUGGAGGAACACCAGUGGCGAAAGCGGCUNUCUGGUCUGUCACUGACGCUGAGGCUCGAAAGCGUGGGUAGCGAACAGGAUUAGAUACCCUGGUAGUNCACGCCGUAAACGAUGAGUGCUAGGUGUUAGGCCCUUUCCGGGGCUUAGUGCCGGAGCUAACGCAAUAAGCACUCCGCCUGGGGAGUACGACCGCAAGGUUGAAACUCAAAGGAAUUGACGGGGGCCCGCACAAGCGGUGGAGCAUGUGGUUUAAUUCGAAGCAACGCGAAGAACCUUACCAGGUCUUGACAUCCCGAUGCUAUUCUUAGAGAUAGGAAGUUACUUCGGUACAUCGGAGACAGGUGGUGCAUGGUUGUCGUCAGCUCGUGUCGUGAGAUGUUGGGUUAAGUCCCGCAACGAGCGCAACCCUUAUUGUUAGUUGCCAUCAUUAAGUUGGGCACUCUAGCGAGACUGCCGGUAAUAAACCGGAGGAAGGUGGGGAUGACGUCAAAUCAUCAUGCCCCUUAUGACCUGGGCUACACACGUGCUACAAUGGUCGGUACAACGAGUUGCGAGCCGGUGACGGCAAGCUAAUCUCUGAAAGCCGAUCUCAGUUCGGAUUGGAGGCUGCAACUCGCCUCCAUGAAGUCGGAAUCGCUAGUAAUCGCGGAUCAGCACGCCGCGGUGAAUACGUUCCCGGGCCUUGUACACACCGCCCGUCACACCACGAGAGUUUGUAACACCCGAAGUCGGUGAGGUAACCUUUUAGGG